GUUACUUCGGUACAUCGGUGACAGGUGGUGCAUGGUUGUCGUCAGCUCGUGUCGUGAGAUGUUGGGUUAAGUCCCGCAACGAGCGCAACCCCUAUUGUUAGUUGCCAUCAUUCAGUUGGGCACUCUAGCGAGACUGCCGGUAAUAAACCGGAGGAAGUGGGGAUGACGUCAAAUCAUCAUGCCCCUUAUGACCUGGGCUACACACGUGCUACAAUGGUUGGUACAACGAGUUGCGAGUCGGUGACGGCGAGCUAAUCUCUUAAAGCCAAUCUCAGUUCGGAUUGUAGGCUGCAACUCGCCUACAUGAAGUCGGAAUCGCUAGUAAUCGCGGAUCAGCACGCCGCGGUGAAUACGUUCCCGGGCCUU
rnacentral:rRNA from 1 species